rfam:Brachypodium distachyon strain Bd21 chromosome 1, whole genome shotgun sequence.
CUUGUAUUUCCUCCGUCCAAUAAAAGAUGUCUCAAAUUUAACUAAAUUUAAAUGUAUAUAUACACUAAAUCAUGUUUCGAUACAUCUAAAUUUUAACAAACUUGAGAUAUAUUUUGUUGGACGGAAGGAGUAUAUU